AUGAUGGAAAGGAGACAUGACCGGGACGCCCUGCAGUGCAGGAUUAAAGUGAAGGAGCUGCGGAGUGCCUACCGUGCUGCGCUGAGCGACUCUGUCCAGUCCAACGAACCCGAAGUGUCUGGGCCGGUUGGAGGUUCUGUAACACUCAGCUGUUCUUACACCACCAGCGAUAGCUAUGUCUAUCUCAAUUGGUACCGUCAGUAUCCGAACCAAGCCCCAGAGUACAUUCUCUGGAAGGGAGCGAAAUCCGCCAGCGGUACCAGCCACACAGCAGAUUUCGCCCAGGAGAGGUUUUCUUCCCAGGCUGAUGACAGCUCCACAGUUCUGAACAUCACAGCCCUGGAGCUGGCGGACACAGCGGUGUAUUACUGCGCCCUGCAGAGAGCACAGUGA